AGAAGGAGGAAGGGAGAGAGAAGGAAGGGAGGGAGGGGCCGAAGGCAGAGUCAGGAGACAAAGGCACCCAGAGUGUACGAGCUAUGUAAUAGUACCGGCAGUUAGCUCUGGUAAUUACACUACUACGUUCCGUAGUAGCUAAAGAUGGCAGUAAAACAGUCUCGUGGCUAGAAAACGAUGGAAUAAGACUAUCAAGGUGGUGAAGCCUAGAACAAAAUUAGGGGGAUCCGAAGGAGCCAGUGAGAGAUCCUGAUAUUCCACUUUACAACGAUAUCAUCUUUAAGUUUCUCAUAAGAAUGAAAUAGAAAGAUAAAAAGGUCGAGAGAAAAAGAAACAGAAAUUUUUCUUUACGAGUAUCACAAGUCGUAUAUCAAGAAACAGAAAUCGAUUUAUUGGCUGCUUGCCUCCUGAUAAAAGUGUCGAAACUAUUUUCAAAUAAGAUCACGCACAUUCUAUUUUUUAAAAUUAUAUAUCGUGUUAGUGGGGAAAAAAGGAAUAGAAAGAGAAAAAAGAACAAUAAUCAAAAAUGUCAUAUAGUGCAGCGAUAAUCGAACGAGAAGUUCAAUUUCUGACGAUAAUGCUCUCGAUUUAUUUGUAAAAGGUCGAACACCGUGUUUGAAUACAACAAUAUAUAUAAACAAAAAGUUUCGCUCCUCAUUCUCGUGUACAUCGAUGCAUCAUAUUACGAGAAACCUAGAAAUAACGCACGUUCGGUGAUUCCUGAUGAAAAGAGCGAAGAAAAUGAAAAUAGAAGGAUAUAAAAUUAUCGAUUUUUCCUUCGGUAACAAGCAGAAAUGGUGUAUCUCGUAUUCGAAUUUCCGCAACAUAGUUCACUUGUAAGAAAGUUAGCAAUAUAUAUAAAUGAUCGCGUGCUUUAAUGAAUCGUUGCAAGGAACACGAGGAAUAUUAACGAAUUUCGCACAUGAUUAUUAUUAUCUUCGAGUAAAAGUAGUAUAAUAUAUAUGGAUAAGUAGAAGCCUGUCCGUUAUUAAUAAAGCAACAUGCUAUGUUAAUGAAUCUCGUAGUAAUGAUCUUACGAGCGAUCGUUGUCGCUCGACACUUAUACUCACUCGACUCUUAACAUGUUUCUUUUGCUUUUUCUUUUUCUUUUUUUUUUCCUUUUAUUUAUCUUCCUCCUCGUACAAUCGAUAUCGUACUUGGUCACUCUUCGUAGACGUUUCUUUGCAAAUGAACAUACGUUAUUCAUUGCGAAUGAUUGACAGUAUCAGUAAAUGUAUCUACAUUAUUAUGUGAUGCAUGAUAUAUCUAUCAGUUUAACGGAUCGAUUAAUUAUUAAUCUCAUUGUUUACACAUUUCUACUCGUAUUUCCAAUUGGAUAUGCAUAAUCCAUUAUUUUAUAAUGGAAUUCAUAUGACGGAAGCGAAUGUGUACAAACUUGUACAGUUUCAGCGAUGUGUUAUAAAUAAUUAUCAAGAAUAUACUAUCUACCUACUCGAUAACGAAAAAAAAGAGAAAGUGGGUUUAUUCAAUUUUUUCAGAAAUUUACAAAGAUCGCGGACGCGAUCUUUUCAGGCACUUUUUUAGGCAAGCAUUUCUUUUUUGUAACGCUCGAGCUGUCUCCCGCACUGCAGUAACAGUUUGCAAUGCCACACACAGGAUGUCGCUCCGUUAAACACUUUUGAGAUAAAUUGAGAAUAAGACGAAAGGGAAUGAUCGAGUGACAGAAAUACAGAUCGCAAGCUUCCGUGAAUAACCAAGGCUGACAUGGACUGGCUCGCGAGAUUGAUGCAUAUUUUCAAAAGAGAAAGAUUAACGCGACGCGUUUUUAUUUGGUUGUUCAUUUUUACUUCUAUUAUCGCACACUUUUCUGCUUUAUAUGAGCGAUUACGAGAGUAAUUUAGAGUUUUUUGACGUUCAUUUGAAACGUAUUCAUUGGACAAUUAAAUUUACUGCAUUAUCUGGAAUCGCUAAACUCUUUGAACUCGGUUGUAUGCGUGCAUACAUAUAUAUACACUUAACUCGCUUUUAAAAUAAAAAUAUCUAUUGAGAUA